AUUGAACGCUGGCGGCAGGCUUAACACAUGCAAGUCGAGCGGGGACUUCGGUCCUAGCGGCGAACGGGUGAGGAAUGCUUGGGAAUCUGCCCAGUAGCGGGGGACAACGUUUCGAAAGGAACGCUAAUACCGCAUACGCCCUACGGGGGAAAGGGGGGGAUCUUCGGACCUCUCACUAUUGGAUGAGCCCAAGUCGGAUUAGCUAGUUGGUGGGGCAAAGGCCUACCAAGGCGACGAUCCGUAGCUGGUCUGAGAGGAUGAUCAGCCACACUGGAACUGAGACACGGUCCAGACUCCUACGGGAGGCAGCAGUGGGGAAUAUUGGACAAUGGGCGAAAGCCUGAUCCAGCCAUGCCGCGUGUGUGAAGAAGGCCUUCGGGUUGUAAAGCACUUUAAGCGAGGAGGAAUGGCUCUUGGUUAAUAACCUUGAGUAGUGACGUUACUCGCAGAAUAAGCACCGGCUAACUCUGUGCCAGCCGCCGCAGUAACAC
rnacentral:rRNA from 1 species